UCCCCCCGGAAUGGCACAACCAAAAUUGCUUUGGCUUUUUCUCUCCCACAGACCCCAAUGGGUGCUUUCCUUGUAUUUGUGCAGUUAGCAGAAGCCUGCCCUUUCUCCCCUAAAUUGCCAUCGAAUGAGGUAGGAUGGCCGGGGGGAUAGAGUGCUGAUCCCCGAGCAAAAAGAGUGUAGGUCUAUCCUGAAACUACCUCAAGAAGAGCACUUUCAGCUGUAGGACUGGUUUCUAUUUUCACCUCUUCAGUCAUGCAUGACGAAAGGAUGAGCCUCCAGAAGAGGGAUGAGAAAGUUUACAGCUGGCUCCAUCAGAAAUUUCAUAUAGAUGCUCACCCUUUCUCUCCAAGAGUACAUCAUCUUCUUCAAACUUCAGACUUCAGAAAAAGUUGGAAAGACUUACAUGAACUGAUGCUAAGUAAAGUAAGCAGAACCAGGAGAAUAUUGUAUACAGUAACAACAACCUUGUGAGAUCAUCAAUUUUGAUUGACAACUCUUCUCAACAAUGCAAUGAUGAUCCAAGAUAGUUCCACAGGACUCAUGAUGGAAAAUGCUCUUCCCAUCCAGAAAGAGAAUUGAUGGAGUCUAAAUGUAGCCUGAAGCAUACUAUUUUUACUUUAUUUUUUAAUCAUGGUUUUUACCUUUUGUUAUGUUUUUCUUUCACAACAUGAAUAUAGUUUAAAUGAUUACACAUAUAUAACAUAUUAAAUUGCCUGCCAUCUUAAGGAAGAGGGAAAAGGAGAAGAAAAUUUGGAACUCAAAAUCUUAUAAAAUAAGGUUAAAAUUGUUUUUACAUAGAAUUAGAAAAAAUAAAAUAUUAUUAAAAAUAAAAAGUCAAACAUGUUAGGAUCUUGAGGGGAAAAAACCCAAGUCAAACAACAAAAACUGCUCUUUCACUGCCUUUUACAUGAAGGGUUUCCUGACCCUUUAGUAAAUAAUUCUCCUUCCUCUAAUUUUUUUGGUCAUGUAUUUAUUUUGUAUAUGUCCUGUGCAUAUUUCUUUGAGGACAUUUUGUCUCUACUGAUAGAUUGUAAACUCCAUGUGAACAGAGAUUUCCAAUUUUGUAUCUUAACCAGCAGAGUGGUUGUUUAAUAAAUGUUUAUUUGUUGAAUGACAAAUUAAAGCCUUGAAAGAAUGAAUAUAUUACAGACAUAUUUUUGUGAAGGAUUAGGAUCACUGCUGAAUAGUAAGGUCAUUAGCUGGUGAAAUGUGGUACUAUGUAGUGUGAAGACUCUUAAGAUUGGUUGUAUAAGAAAGGGAAAGAAGGACCUAAAAGAAGAAUUUUGAAGAGAUGUGAUAUGGUGAGUGUAGAAAAUUUAAUUAUUUAGAGAAUAAAGAUCUGGGUGUAAUCCUGGCUCUGCUGUUUGUCACUUAUUUGCCCUGAGAGAAACCAUUUCUCCUCUCUGUGAAUAAAUUUUCUCAUUAGUAAAAUGAAGGUCUGGAUUAGUGGGCUCCAGAGUUUCUUAUACAUCUACUUGCUGUCUGAGCCUGGAUAUAAACUUCUCUUUCAGUCUCAUCUAGGAUUGCCUCCUAGUCAGAAUCAUUUCCAACUCUUAAACUCUUUUAAGGUCAGCAUCCUCAAUAUUUCCUCUAUCUUCAUUAUCUGUUUCAUUAUUAAGAUCCUAGGAACAUAGAUCAUGGGACCUUUUAGGAGGCAUGGAAGCCCAAAGCCUUAUUUUUUGUUCUUAACAACUAGGGAAACUGAGACUUGGGGAGAUUAAUUGACUUGCUAGUCAUUGUUAGAAACUUUGUACCCAGGUCUUCUCACUCCAAAACUAAUGCCCUAUUUGAUGCAGCACAAUGCCACUGAAGCUAUAUAAGCAGGGAAUAGUCAUUAGACAAAGUACUGGAUCUACAAGGACUUGAAAUGUAACAGGUUUGCAGGCAGAUUAAAACAUGAAACUUCCUGGUCUAUGUCCCCUACUUCCCAUCAUAGUCAGCCAUUCAUCUUUCUUCCUUCAAAUAGUCUCCUGUAGUCUACUUAAAAAAUAAACAGGAAAAUUGAGAAGGGAGAGGAUACUAGCAAUUAGAGGGAACAGGAAAGUUUCACCAAAAAUGAAACCUUUGAGCUGAACAUGAGAAAGGAAAAGGAUUCAAAAAACAGAGAUAAAUAAUACAGUUUACCUGUGUCAUACAAAUUUAGGGUCUAAUUCUAGUGAAUGACAUGAAACAGAUUUUUUUUUGUAUUCAUGCAAGCAGUAGUGUUGUGUUGGAGUUAGUUCUAACUAGUUUGCCGAGCUAAUUAAGAAAUUUUCACUGAGUGUGUUUCAGAAAUCAAUAAAAAUGACAAAUCAGGGCUUGAUUUAUUGUUGGAUUGAUUGUCUAAUACUUAAGAAAAUGAUAGAGAAAAUGUUAAAAAUACAAAUUCAACUUAAAAGUGUCUUAUACAUUUUUCGUUUUUGGAAAGCUGGUUAUCAGCACAUCAGCCUACAUGCAUAGCUAGGAUACAUUGAAGUAAGUCAGUAAAAGAGUUGCAUGUGAUCACCUUUAUCCAUAUUGUUCUAUGGGACAAAAUGCUGUUGGUGGUGCAGAAAAUAGUGGGCUAUGCUCUCUGGCUGAAGACAAAGAACAAGUGGGAGCUUGGAUUUAUAUAAUUGUUUUAUAUAAAUGGUCUAUCAUGACCACUAUUAGGCUAUGGGGACAGGGAGCAUGAAUGGUAGCAAAAGGUAUAGUUUCUAAAAAUUAACAAGGUGGCCAAUUCCAAGUGAGAAAAGUGGAAUUUAAACUUUGGCACAGUAGCAUCUCAGCAGACAUUUCUAAUCCCAAGUACAGCUGAAUUCUGAAGCAUAUCAAAGUUAUGUUAAUAAAAAUCAGUCCUAUUCACCUUGAAAUCUGAGACCCUGACUCUGCUACUCACUUUGAGUGAUUUGGGGGAAUCAAUUCACUUUUAUAUUCCUUGUUGCCUUACAUCCUCUAGACCCCAGCCUCUUAAACUGUGGUUUGCAAUUCCAUAUGGGGUCUAAUAACUGAAUUAUGAUAUAUUAUCAAUAAAUGUUUGAUUUGUAUAUCUAUUUUAUAAACCUGUAUAGCCAGGGACAUGUAAAAUUUCUUGGGCUAAAAGGGGUUAUGAGUGGAAAAAGUUUAAGAAGCCCAGUCUAGGCUCAUCUAUUGGAUGGUGUUGGUAAAUAUUUUCUAGCUAACUACAUCUUUACAUUGCAUGGAGCCUUUUGACAUUCAGCAAUUAUUCAAUGCUUACACUCAAAUAUUUUGUAGAUAUUUGAUGCCAUGAUCAUAUUCCUUUGUUUAGUCCAAGUAAUUGAUAUGUCUCAUAUGAGUAGGUUCCCUAUCGUUCCUUAAUUAAAAAAAAAUAGUUAAUCUAAACCUAGUUAAUACAAAGCUCAUGUUUUUCCCCCUUUGUCUCUUGAAUGAACAAUUUUACUGUAUUGUACACAUGGUAAGGAAUGUGAUAUGCUUGGUUUACUUCUGUAUCCACAGCUUGAAUUGCACUGACAUAUGGUGGGAGUCUGUUGUUGUGUUGAUCUUCUUCUUGAUCUCACUUUAAUAAGUUAUUAAUUUUAAUUAUUAUUAAAUUAAUUAUUACAAAAAAA